rnacentral:rRNA from 1 species
AAGAAUCGUGGAGGUAGAGCACUGAUUGGGUGCGGGGCCCGCAAGGGUUACCAAGCUCAGUCAAACUCCGAAUGCCAUAGAUUUAGUUCCGGGAGUCAGACAGUGAGUGCUAAGAUCCAUUGUCGAAAGGGAAACAGCCCAGACCAUCAGCUAAGGUCCCCAAGUGUGUGUUAAGUGGGAAAGGAUGUGGAGUUGCACAGACAACCAGGAUGUUGGCUUAGAAGCAGCCACCAUUGAAAGAGUGCGUAAUAGCUCACUGGUCGAGUGACUCUGCGCCGAAAAUGUAACGGGGCUAAACACACCACCGAAGCUAUGGCUUGAUGCUUGCAUCAGGGGUAGGGGAGCGUUGAAUGCGGGUUGAAGGUGUACCGGAAGGAGCGCUGGACUGCAUUCAAGUGAGAAUGCCGGUAUGAGUAACGAAAAGAUCUGUGAGAAUCAGAUCCGCCGAAAGCCUAAGGGUUCCUGAGGAAGGUUCGUCCGCUCAGGGUAAGUCGGGACCUAAGGCGAGGCCGAUAGGCGUAGUCGAAGGACAACAGGU